UGUCCAGUAGCACCUUAAGAGACCAAUUAAGUUUGCUCUGGGUAUAAGCUUUCAUGUACACAUGAAAGCUUACACCCAGAACAAACUUAGUUGGUCUUUAAGAUGCUACUGGACA